rnacentral:rRNA from 1 species
CGGUCCGCUGACGAGUGGCGAACGGGUGAGUAACACGUGGAGACCUACCCUAGGGUACGGGAUAACAGUUAGAAAUGACUGCUAAUACCGUAUACGUCCUUCGGGAGAAAGAUUUAUUGCCCUUGGAGGGGUCCGCGUUGGAUUAGCUAGAUGGUGAGGUAACGGCUCACCAUGGCUACGAUCCAUAGCUGGUCUUAGAGGACGAUCAGCCACACUGGGACUGAGACACGGCCCAGACUCC